GAUCUACAGGACAUGAUUGUGUUUGGAAAUGUCCCACCUCCCCCAGCGGACAGGCAAGAACCCAGACCCCAGAUCCCAAGGAUUGCCUCAUCUGCUCAAGUGAGGGGGAGCAGGGACCAGGGCCAGCUGUGUGCCCCAAAUGCUCUGCCCUACCAGGGAAAACACAGGCAGUGACCUCCUCCUCCCGGGCUAAUCCUUAGAGGAGGACCUGGAGAGUCACAACCUAAGGAAGAACUUACACACCCAAUCCACAGGACAUUCUUAGGGC